CGGCGAGUGAAGCGGUAACAGCUCAAAUUUGAAAGCUAGCUCUUCUAGGGUUCGCAUUGUAAUUUGUAGAAGAUGCUUCGGGUGUGGCCCCGGUCUAAGUUCCUUGGAACAGGACGUCAKAGAGGGUGAGAAUCCCGUAUGUGACUGGGUGCUUUCGCUCAUGUGAAGCUCUUUCGACGAGUCGAGUUGUUUGGGAAUGCAGCUCAAAAUGGGUGGUAAAUUUCAUCUAAAGCUAAAUAUUGGCCAGAGACCGAUAGCGCACAAGUAGAGUGAUCGAAAGAUGAAAAGCACUUUGGAAAGAGAGUUAAACAGUACGUGAAAUUGUUGAAAGGGAAGCGCUUGCAACCAGACUUGCGCGCUGACGAUCAUCCGGGCUUCUGCCCGGUGCACUCGUCUGCGCUCAGGCCAGCAUCGGUUUCGGUGGUGGGAUAAAGGCCUUGGGAAUGUAGCUCCUCUCGGGGAGUGUUAUAGCCCUCGGUGCAAUGCCGCCUACCGGGACCGAGGACCGCGCUUCGGCUAGGAUGCUGGCGUAAUGGUUGUAAGCGACCCGUCUUGAAACACGGACCAAGGAGUCUAACAUCUAUGCGAGUGUUUGGGUGUCAAACCCAUACGCGUAAUGAAAGUGAACGGAGGUGAGAACCCUUAAGGGUGCAUCAUCGACCGAUCCUGAUGUCUUCGGAUGGAUUUGAGUAAGAGCAUAGCUGUUGGGACCCGAAAGAUGGUGAACUAUGCGUGAAUAGGGUGAAGCCAGAGGAAACUCUGGUGGAGGCUCGCAGCGGUUCUGACGUGCAAAUCGAUCGUCAAAUUUGCGUAUAGGGGCGAAAGACUAAUCGAAC
rnacentral:rRNA from 1 species